AUUGAACGCUAGCGGCAUGCCUAACACAUGCAAGUCGAGCGGAGCGGCAGACGGGUGAGUAAUGCCUAGGAAUCUGCCUGGUCGUGGUGGAUAACGUUCGGAAACGGGCGCUAAUACUGCAUACUAUCAGAUUAGCCUAGGGCGGAUUAGCUAGUUGUUGGGGUAAAGGCCUACCAAGGCGACGAUCCGUAACUGGUCUGAGAGGAUGAUCAGUCACACUGGGACUGAGACACGGCCCAGACUCCUACGGGAGGCAGCAGUGGGGAAUAUUGGACAAUGGGCGAAAGCCUGAUCCAGCCAUCCCGCGUGUGUGAAGAAGGUCUUCGGAUUGUAAAGUACUUUAAGUUGGGAGGCGGUACCUACAGAAUAAGCACCGGCUAACUUCGUGCCAGCAGCCGCGGUAAUUC
rnacentral:rRNA from 1 species